rnacentral:tRNA from 1 species
ACAUAGUGUGACUUAACUAAAGUACUUUGUUUACACCAAAAUUAUGCCUGAUAAACCCAGGUCACUAUG